UUAAACAAAAAUGUGUAAAGGUUGGUUAACUUUAACAAUAACUGCAAAAAACUCAUUUUUAUAACAAUUUGUUUCUUUUCUAGGUGAGUUUGCUUGAAACUAUUUUUUUACGGAAAAUUAUUUUUUUGACAUAGUUAUACAUUUAAAAUGAAAUUUAGAUUUUUUAUAAACUGUGACUACUUUACUCGUAGAAAUUGUUUUUUGAUAGACGUAUUUUUUGUGGUACUUCUGAAAUAUUGAUUAUUAGAAACUGUUAUGAAUGAAAUAAUACAAAUCGGAAGUUAAGAGUAAAAAAAUUUUUCCAAAUAUUUGUGUAACAAAAUUCAUUAGUUGAUGUUAACGAUGUUAAAAUUCUUUGAAUCGCUCUGCCUAGUGACAAGUAUUAACUGCAUUAGUGCAUUCGAGAUUUUGUCGAUAUGUUAAAAGCUCGGUUAUACUUGUAAGUUAGAUGUGUGUAUAAUGGCAAUGCCACUGCUGAGGCUAGAACAUAUGCGGAUAAGUUUCCAAAUCGCUUUGUAGCAUAUUUUGUGACAACAAAUAUGUCCCGUCAAUUUUGAGACACUCUGUGCACAUGAAU